UCCGCUAGAGACUGCCCAGGUGAGAAGGCAGAGAUGUUCUCGGCCCGUUUCCUCCCAGGGUCAUUAACAGUACCCCGGUACGCUGCUGACCCUCUCCUC